ensembl:lncRNA
GUGUGGGUGUGGGUGUGGGUGUGUGUGUGUGUGAGGGAGUUGAGGGGCCAGAAGGGACUUCCUGGCCGUCCUGAGACACUGAGUCAGACUGGAUGUCUGAUCUCAGAGUCCUUGAGCCAUGAGGAGCCCUGGAACUUUGGGGGGAUUCUCUGCCCUCCUUUGCUAGAAGAACCAGAAGCAGGGUGCAGCUCCUUUCUUCAAAUGACUGUGUAUUGCUUACAGGAGAACUCAAGAGCAGUUUUCCAAAAUAAUCACCCUCGCUGCCGGGAUAUGUUGACUCACAGAACAACCUACCUUUCACCUUACUUGUCUUUCUAGAAAAAGCCCAGUUCUUCAGAGCCCAAGAACUGCAACUGCUGAAGCUCGUGUGCUCCAGGCUCUGCAACAAGAGAAGCCACCGAAAUGAGAAGCCUGCAGAUCGCAACUAGAGAGUAGCCCCUGCUCACAGAAACUGGAGGAAAGCUCACAUAACAACGAAGACCCAGAG